CGGACGGGUGAGUAACACGUGAGCAACCUACCUUUAAGAGAGGGAUAGCUUCUGGAAACGGAUGGUAAUACCUUAUAAAAUAUUUGUAUGGCAUCAUAUAAAUAUCAAAGAUUAAUCACUUAAAGAUGGGCUCGCGUCUGAUUAGCUAGUUGGUAAGGUAACGGCCUACCAAGGCAACGAUCAGUAGCCGGACUGAGAGGUUGAACGGCCACAUUGGGACUGAGACACGGCCCAGACUCCUACGGGAGGCAGCAGUGGGGAAUAUUGCACAAUGGGCGAAAGCCUGAUGCAGCGAUGCCGCGUGAGGGAAGAAGGUUUUCGGAUUGUAAACCUCUGUCAUAAGGGACGAAAACAGACGGUACCUUAGAAGGAAGCUCCGGCUAACUACGUGCCAGCAGCCGCGGUAAUACGUAGGGAGCAAGCGUUAUCCGGAAUUACUGGGUGUAAAGGGAG
rnacentral:rRNA from 1 species